rnacentral:rRNA from 1 species
GAAUAUUGGACAAUGGGCGAAAGCCUGAUCCAGCCAUGCCGCGUGAGCGAUGAAGGCCUUAGGGUUGUAAAGCUCUUUCACCGGGGAAGAUAAUGACGGUACCCGGAGAAGAAGCCCCGGCUAACUUCGUGCCAGCAGCCGCGGUAAUACGAAGGGGGCUAGCGUUGUUCGGAAUUACUGGGCGUAAAGCGCACGUAGGCGGAUCGUUAAGUUAGGGGUGAAAUCCCGGGGCUCAACCCCGGAACUGCCUCUAAUACUGGCGAUCUAGAGUAUGGAAGAGGUGAGUGGAAUUCCGAGUGUAGAGGUGAAAUUCGUAGAUAUUCGGAGGAACACCAGUGGCGAAGGAGGCUCACUGGUCCAUUACUGACGCUGAGGUGCGAAAGCGUGGGGAGCAAACAGG